CAAAACUCACCAACCCUAGUUGAUGGUGUCAGUUUGCAGGAGGUACUUGGCACUCUCAAACCAGCCCAAGUUGGCACUGGUGCCAGCUUGGUCCUGGGAGGCAUCCUGCGAUAUGCGGAAUUUUAAAAGCCAGAAGGCUGCUCUGAGCCACAGCCCCUAGAACACAAAAACCGCCCCUUUUCCCUGGGAAAUAAAACUCACCAACCCUAGUUGAUGGUGUCAGUUUGCAGGAGGUACUUGGCACUCUCAAACCAGCCCAAGUUGGCACUGGUGCCAGCUUGGUCCUGGGAGGCAUCCUGCGAUAUGCGGAAUUUUAAAAGCCAGAAGGCUGCUCUGAGCCACAGCCCCUAGAACACAAAAACCGCCCCUUUUCCCUGGGAAAUAAAACUCACCAACCCUAGUUCAUGGUGUCAGUUUGCAGGAGGUACUUGGCACUCUCAAACCAGCCCAAGUUGGCACUGGUGCCAGCUUGGUCCUGGGAGGCAUCCUGCGAUAUGCGGAAUUUUAAAAGCCAGAAGGCUGCUCUGAGCCACCGGCCCUGGAACAAAAAACCGCCCCUUUUCCCAGUUUGCAGGAGGUACUUGGCACUCUCAAACCAGCCCAAGUUGGCACUGGUGCCAGCUUGGUCCUGGGAGGCAUCCUGCGAUAUGCGGAAUUUUAAAAGCCAGAAGGCUGCUCUGAGCCACCGGCCCUGCAACACCAACGCUGCCCCUUUUCCCAGGUAAGCAAAACUCACCAACCCUAGUUGAUGGUGUCAGUUUGCAGGAGGUACUUGGCACUCUCAAACCAGCCCAAGUUGGCACUGGUGCCAGCUUGGUCCUGGGAGGCAUCCUGCGAUAUGCGGAAUUUUAAAAGCCAGAAGGCUGCUCUGAGCCACAGGCCCUAGAACACAAAAACCGCCCCUUUUCCCUGGGAAAUAAAACUCACCAACCCUAGUUGAUGGUGUCAGUUUGCAGGAGGUACUUGGCACUCUCAAACCAGCCCAAGUUGGCACUGGUGCCAGCUUGGUCCUGGGAGGCAUCCUGCGAUAUGCGGAAUUUUAAAAGCCAGAAGGCUGCUCUGAGCCACAGCCCCUAGAACACAAAAACCGCCCCUUUUCCCUGGGAAAUAAAACUCACCAACCCUAGUUGAUGGUGUCAGUUUGCAGGAGGUACUUGGCACUCUCAAACCAGCCCAAGUUGGCACUGGUGCCAGCUUGGUCCUGGGAGGCAUCCUGCGAUAUGCGGAAUUUUAAAAGCCAGAAGGCUGCUCUGAGCCACAGCCCCUAGAACACAAAAACCGCCCCUUUUCCCUGGGAAAUAAAACUCACCAACCCUAGUU